rfam:Bacterium TMED161 isolate TMED161 42560, whole genome shotgun sequence.
UGAUGCUGUUAGGGGUGCCUUAGGCUGAGAACAUACCCUUUAAACCUGAACUAGAUAAUGCUAGCGGAGGAAAACUACUAUGAAAAAUC